rnacentral:rRNA from 1 species
AUUGAACGCUGGCGGCAGGCCUAACACAUGCAAGUCGAGCGGAUGAAGGGAGCUUGCUCCUGGAUUCAGCGGCGGACGGGUGUGUAAUGCCUAGGAAUCUGCCUGGUAGUGGGGGAUAACGUCCGGAGACGGGCGCUAAUACCGCAUACGUCCUGAGGGAGAAAGUGGGGGAUCUUCGGACCUCACGCUAUCAGAUGAGCCUAGGUCGGAUUAGCUAGUUGGUGGGGUAAAGGCCUACCAAGGCGACGAUCCGUAACUGGUCUGAGAGGAUGAUCAGUCACACUGGAACUGAGACACGGUCCAGACUCCUACGGGAGGCAGCAGUGGGGAAUAUUGGACAAUGGGCGAAAGCCUGAUCCAGCCAUGCCGCGUGUGUGAAGAAGGUCUUCGGAUUGUAAAGCACUUUAAGUUGGGAGGAAGGGCAGUAAGUUAAUACCUUGCUGUUUUGACGUUACCAACAGAAUAAGCACCGGCUAACUUCGUG